GAUGAACGCUGGCGGCGUGCCUAAUACAUGCAAGUCGAGCGAAUGGAUUAAGAGCUUGCUCUUAUGAAGUUAGCGGCGGACGGGUGAGUAACACGUGGGUAACCUGCCCAUAAGACUGGGAUAACUCCGGGAAACCGGGGCUAAUACCGGAUAACAUUUUGAACCGCAUGGUUUGAAAUUGAAAGGCGGCUUCGUCUGUCACUUAUGGGUGGACCCGCGUCGCAUUAGCUAGUUGGUGAGGUAACGGCUCACCAAGGCAACGAUGCGUAGCCGACCUGAGAGGGUGAUCGGCCACACUGGGACCGAGACACGGCCCAGACUCCUACGGGAGGCAGCAGUAGGGAAUCUUCCGAAAUGGACGAAAGUCUGACGGAGCAACGCCGCGUGAGUGAUGAAGGCUUUCGGGUCGUAAAACUCUGUUGUUAGGGAAGAACAAGUGCUAGUUGAAUAAGCUGGCACCUUGACGGUACCUAACCAGAAAGCCACGGCUAACUACGUGCCAGCAGCCGCCGUAA
rnacentral:rRNA from 1 species